ensembl:snRNA U6 U6 spliceosomal RNA
GUGUCAUCACUUCAGCAACACAUAUACUAAAAUGAGUAAAAUACAGAGAUGAGCAUGGUCCUUGCACAAAGAUGAAACACAAAUUCUUGAAAUAUUCCAUAUUUUU